AAUCAACGCUGGCGGCGUGCCUCAGACAUGCAAGUCGAACGAUUAAACUUUCCUUCGGGAAAGAUAUAAAGUGGCGCACGGGUGAGUAACACGUAAGUAAUCUACCCUCGAGUGGGGAAUAACGUCCGGAAACGGACGCUAAUACCGCAUAAUGCAGCGGCACCGCAAGGUGACAGUUGUUAAAGAUUUAUCGCUUGAGGAGGAGCUUGCGGCAGAUUAGCUAGUUGGUAAGGUAAUGGCUUACCAAGGCUACGAUCUGUAACCGGUCUAAGAGGACGGUCGGUCACACUGACACUGAAUAACGGGUCAGACUCCUACGGGAGGCAGCAGUCGGGAAUUUUGGGCAAUGGGCGAAAGCCUGACCCAGCAACGCCGCGUGAAGGAUGAAGUAUUUCGGUAUGUAAACUUCGAAAGAAUGGGAAG
rnacentral:rRNA from 1 species